GGGCUGCACAGAGAACUCUAAACAUAAUCACUCACUGCAGCCCACCCCUGCUGACAGCCUGGAGAAUGUGAAAGGAAGCCCCCUUCUACCGCCCAGGCAUUCACAUAUGUGUACAAAGUGAACCAUCCCACCUUGGGGAAGUACCCAGUCUCUCUACUAACUUCCUCCACUGUCUAUGAAGACUGCCUAUGGAACCUGUCUAGCUGCUUUAUGUAUGGGACGGAGGCAGGUGGUGCUGAGGAUAAACCUGCUGCUCUGUGUGCUUAGUGUUCUAGUACCUGCGCCGGAGGCUCCCAGAGGCGAGUGGUGGUGUGUCAGGAUGAAAACGGAUACACAGCCAAUGACUGUGUAGAGAGAAUCAAACCUGAUGAACAGAGAGCCUGUGAAUCUGGCCCGUGUCCCCAAUGGGCUUACGGCAGCUGGGGAGAGGUAAGAGCGAUCCAUUUGUCUUUCUGUCCUUUGUCGCCUGGCUGCUAUUGUUUAAGACUUCAUUGUUCAGAACCAGAUCUAGGAGAAGCUCCUGGACCUGGGAUUCUCUGGGAGAUCUCUGUUGGCUCCAUCCUGCUGUUUAGAUGCACUUACUACUACUGAGAGAAAGCUUGACUAGAUAAAGGGUGGAUAAUGAGGAAAGAUUGGGCAUCAAUCUACGCUGUUUAUUAGUUAACCUCUAAUAGUUAAAAAAUAUAAUGAAUGCUUAUAAGGGGUGGAAAUCACGUGUUAAAGUAGCUGUGGGAGUCUUGCCCUUAUUCUUAUAGUUUUGGGUGCACACAUUCCCGUAGCAGAAUGCCUUCCAAGGUUUCAGAUUCUUUAAAAAACCAGAAUAGGGGUUAUUCUUACCACAGAUGACACUAGGGAAUGAUGAGCUGUAUCUUCUCUGUGCUCCAAUAAAGACACUUUUGGCUGUUAGCUAUGCAGAACUGCCCACUUUUCCUGAUAAAGGCUAACAUAGUGUUUGGAGUGCAUAAAAACCAGAUCCACUUCCUGACUGUGAGUCUCUCUUUUUCUAACUAAGAUAUAAUUAAACCAUUUCCCCACUUCCCUUUCCUCUUCACUCCAGUCCUUCCCAUGCACUCCUUCGUUCUCUCUCAAAAUCAUAGUCUUUGUUUCUAUAAUUGUUUUAUAUAUAUAUAUAUAAAUAUAAAUAUAAAUUAUAUAUAUAUAUAUAAUCCUAAAUAGGAGCCAAGCAGUGGUGGCGCAUGCCUUUUACCCCAGCUCUCAGGAGGUAGGUGGACCUCUGACUUCAAAGCCAGAGUGAGUUCUACGGCAGCCAGGGUUACACAGAGAGACCCUGUCCUGAAAAACAAAACAAGCAAAUAACAAUAAUAGUAAUCCUAAAUAUGUACAUGCAACUUGUUUGUUCCAUAUAUUGUUACUUCUAUGGAUAUGAUUCCAGGGAUGACCACUUGCUAUUGGAUAACUGAUUUAGGUGCCCUUCCCUGGGGAAGACUCUUUCUCUCACUUCCUUUUUUCUUAAGAUUUAUUUAAAUAAUAAUAAUAAUAAUAAUAAUAAUAAUAAAGUACACUGUAGCUGUCUUCAGACACAACAGAAGAGGGCAUCAGGUCUCAUUACAGGCGGUUGCUGGGAUUUGAACACAGGACCUUCAGAAGAGAAGUCAGUGCUCUGCUGAGCCAACAGCCCUCUCUCACUUUCAAUAUUCAUUAUUUGCCUAUAGUUCUUUGUCUAGGGUUGGAGUUCAGUGAGAUUUCCCUUGCAUGGUAGCAUAUCUAUUGAUGCCAUUCUUGUUUAAGGUCUUGUUCAGGCAGCUAUGCUGAUGAGACUUCCUAAGUGUAGCUUCUCUGGGAUUUCUAAGACAUGAAAUCUUACAGCAAGCAUCCUCUUCUAGCUGCUACAAUCUUCUCUUUAGCUGUCUACUCUGAUCCCUUAACCUGAGGUGCAUAAGUGUGUUAAUAUCUGGGUUGUUUUGUGGUCGUGUGUGUGUGUGUGUGUACAUGAGUUGUAUUAUAGCCCAUUUGGGGUUAGGCAUUAUAUGGCCACUUGUUCUCUGCAUUUUGAGAUUGGUUGUGGUUUUCUGUAAUGGUUGCAAAGAGAUAUUUGUUUGAUGGUGAGUAUAAGGAUAAAUAUUAGAAAGAAUUGGGAAAUAUGCAGUUUUAAUUAAAGUGGUGGCUGUAAGUUCUCCUCCAAGACCAGAAAUUCAUUAGCCUCAGAUAGUUGACUGUGUUUCCAGUACCAUCAACGAUUUCCCUCUUGUUGAGUCCAAGUAGAGAGCUGUUGGUUACCACCAAGGUAUGCAUGCCACUACUGUACCCUUAGGGAUAUUGUCCUGCUGGAUGUUGUUUUAAUACAUAAGCAUCAUAGCUGGGUAUGACUAUUGGUUACUUGGAAGCUUGCGUGGCACCUUCUGGUUCCACGAAAGGCAGUGUUCGUAAAGGAGGCUUUGAGGUCAGAACCAACUCUGGAUCCUGUUUCUGGAAUACGUAGUGUCUUCAGCAAUGGGAACUUACCUUCUAUCUCUGGGAGGCAGCAAAGGCAACCAGCAAUAACCUAUGAUUAGGAGUCUCUUAGAUAACUCUGACCAACAUUUCAAAAGAAAGCGUCGCAGGCCAGCACUUGGGAGACAGAGACAGGUGGGUCUCUGUGAGUUUGAGGCCAGCCUGAUCUACAAAGUGAGUCCAGGACAGCCAGGAUUAUUACACAGAGAAAGCGUGUCCCUCCCCACCUUCC
rnacentral:lncRNA from 1 species